rnacentral:rRNA from 1 species
UACGUAGGGGGCAAGCGUUGUCCGGAAUCAUUGGGCGUAAAGAGCGUGUAGGCGGUCCGGUAAGUCGGCUGUGAAAGUCCAGGGCUCAACCCUGGGAUGCCGGUCGAUACUGCCGGACUAGAGUUCGGAAGAGGCGAGUGGAAUUCCCAGUGUAGAGGUGAAAUUCGUAGAUAUUGGGAAGAACACCAGUGGCGAAGGCGGCUCACUGGCCCGUAACUGACGCUGAGGUGCGAAAGCGUGGGGAGCAAACAGG